rnacentral:lncRNA from 1 species
AAGAAUACAUUACCAGAUGACUUUGAGGGCAAGAGUUUCCUUUGUACUUCUCAAAGUUUGGCACCUUGAACCUGUGCAGAAUCUUAACAUUGGGAACUAAUAAAAUAUCAGAAGCGUUCUUUCCAAAAAAAGUCUUUUCCUCGUAUGGAUUUUAUUUCCUUUCGCAUUUCUAAGAGUUGAUCUUGAAACUCGUCCAUUC